rnacentral:lncRNA from 1 species
AUAAAACAAUGAGAUAUGAGAAACAAUGAUGGAGGUUAUAUUUAAAAAAAAAAAAAACUUAUUUUAAUCAAGAACAUAUACAUCAUGAAAAAUACAAAGCUUAUUGUAAAAGUAAAUGGAAUUGUGGAUUGAAUUUUCAAUAAAUCUAAUGAGUCCCAACCGGGAGCAAAAGACAUAGGGAUGCAGAUUCAUUUUGAUUAAACAAUUAAGAUUGGAUGGAAAAUAUGUCAAGUAAAUGAGGUAGAUAACAAUUAAGAUUGGAUGGAAAAUAUGUCAAGUAAAUGAGGUAGAUAACAAUAAAAAAUAACAACACAUUGUUGAAUACAUGUUCAAAGACUCCCACUAAGAAAUGUUCUUACCACAUAGACAUUGUUAUAACAAUAAUAUGAAAUCUCUAAAAUAUCUAAUUUAUAACUAUACAUAAACAUAUAUAUAUAAAAAAAAAUGUCAAAUGAGAAAGGAUUAUAUGAUUCGUAAAUUUUGUAAAUAAAAACAACUUUAAUAUAUCAAAAUGGAGUACAUGUUUACCUGGAAAAUUUAAAAAUGCGUCACAUUGGUUAAUGAAAAGCACCAUGAUUUUUGUAAAUAAAAUAAAAAGAAGAAUGAAAAGCACCAUAUUUUUUUAAAAUAAAAUAAAAAACAAUGAAAAGCACAUGAUUUUGUAAAAAAUAAAAAGGACAAUGAAAAGCACCAUGAUCUUUGUAAAUAAAAUAAAAAGGACAAUGAAAAGCACCAUGAUCUUUGUAAAUAAAAUAAAAAGGACAAUGAAAAGCA